GAAUUCGCCCUUAGAGUUUGAUCCUGGCUCAGGACGAACGCUGGCGGCGCGCCUAACACAUGCAAGUCGAACGGAGUUUGAGAGAGCUUGCUUUUUCAAACUUAGUGGCGAACGGGUGAGUAACGCGUGAGUAACCUGCCCUGGAGUGGGGGACAACAGUUGGAAACGACUGCUAAUACCGCAUAAGCCCACAGUGCCGCAUGGCACAGCGGGAAAAGGAUUUAUUCGCUUCAGGAUGGACUCGCGUCCAAUUAGCUAGUUGGUGAGGUAACGGCCCACCAAGGCGACGAUUGGUAGCCGGACUGAGAGGUUGAACGGUCACAUUGGGACUGAGACACGGCCCAGACUCCUACGGGAGGCAGCAGUGGGGGAUAUUGCACAAUGGGGGAAACCCUGAUGCAGCGACGCCGCGUGGAGGAAGAAGGUUUUCGGAUUGUAAACUCCUGUCGUUAGGGACGAUAAUGACGGUACCUAACAAGAAAGCACCGGCUAACUACGUGCCAGCAGCCGCGGUAAAACGUAGGGUGCAAGCGUUGUCCGGAAUUACUGGGUGUAAAGGGAGCGCAGGCGGACCGGCAAGUUGGAAGUGAAAUCUAUGGGCUCAACCCAUAAAUUGCUUUCAAAACUGCUGGCCUUGAGUAGUGCAGAGGUAGGUGGAAUUCCCGGUGUAGCGGUGGAAUGCGUAGAUAUCGGGAGGAACACCAGUGGCGAAGGCGACCUACUGGGCACCAACUGACGCUGAGGCUCGAAAGCAUGGGUAGCAAACAGGAUUAGAUACCCUGGUAGUCCAUGCCGUAAACGAUGAUUACUAGGUGUUGGAGGAUUGACCCCUUCAGUGCCGCAGUUAACACAAUAAGUAAUCCACCUGGGGAGUACGACCGCAAGGUUGAAACUCAAAGGAAUUGACGGGGGCCCGCACAAGCAGUGGAGUAUGUGGUUUAAUUCGAAGCAACGCGAAGAACCUUACCAGGUCUUGACAUCCUUCUGACCGGGACUUAACCGUCCUUUUCCUUCGGGACAGAAGAGACAGGUGGUGCAUGGUUGUCGUCAGCUCGUGUCGUGAGAUGUUGGGUUAAGUCCCGCAACGAGCGCAACCCCUAUCUUCAGUAGCCAGCGGUCCGGCCGGGCACUCUGGAGAGACUGCCAGGGAUAACCUGGAGGAAGGUGGGGACGACGUCAAAUCAUCAUGCCCCUUAUGAUCUGGGCGACACACGUGCUACAAUGGCGGUUACAGAGUGAGGCGAACCCGCGAGGGGGAGCGAACCACAAAAAGGCCGUCCCAGUUCGGACUGUAGUCUGCAACCCGACUACACGAAGCUGGAAUCGCUAGUAAUCGCGAAUCAGAAUGUCGCGGUGAAUACGUUCCCGGGUCUUGCACUCACCGCCCGUCA
rnacentral:rRNA from 1 species